ensembl:lncRNA
CACACAGGUGAAGUGAGAACUCCUCUAACACACACACACACACACACACACACAGGUGAAGUGAGGUGAGGUGAGAAUCUCCCCAGAAUAGUGAUGAGGUCCAGUGGACACGUGACUCUGGUGAGGGCCUGUGUGUGUUAUGUGUGUGUGUUAUGUGUGUGUUAUGUGUGUGUUUCAGGUGAUCAGGUGACAAUCAGAGUACACUUAACCACAUCAUGUGAAUGCAUCCUGGAUGAAAUGUGCUCCAAUCACUCAACCCACUAAAUGGAUUCUGACCACACUGCACAGAAUCACACAGAAUGGCAGCAUGACUCUUCAGGACCCUCACGCCCUGGUGCCAGACGCCCCAGACAGGACCCUCACGCCCUCGUGCCAGACGCCCCAGACAGGACCCUAACACACACACUCACGCCAGACGCCCCAGACAGGACCCUAACACACACACUCACGCCAGACGCCCCAGACAGGACCCUCACGCCCUGGUGCCAGACGCCCCAGACUCACGCCCUGGUGCCAGAUGCCCCAGACAGGACCCUAACACACACACACUCACGCCAGACGCCCCAGACAGGACCCUAACACACACACACACGCCAGACGCCCCAGACAGGACCCUCACGCCCUGGUGCCAGACGCCCCAGACUCACGCCCUGGUGCCAGACGCCCCAGACUCACGCCCUGGUGCCAGACGCCCCAGACAGGACCCUAACACACACACUCACGCCAGACGCCCCAGACAGGACCCUCACGCCCUGGUGCCAGACGCCCCAGACUCACGCCCUGGUGCCAGACGCCCCAGACAGGACCCUAACAUACACACUCACGCCAGACGCCCCAGACAGGACCCUAACACACACACUCACGCCAGACGCCCCAGACAGGACCCUCACGCCCUGGUGCCAGACGCCCCAGACUCACGCCCUGGUGCCAGACGCCCCAGACAGGACCCUAACACACACACUCACGCCAGACGCCCCAGACAGGACCCUAACACACACACUCACGCCAGACGCCCCAGACAGGACCCUCACGCCCUCGUGCCAGACGCCCCAGACUCACGCCCUGGUGCCAGACGCCCCAGACAGGACCCUAACACACACACUCACGCCAGACGCCCCAGACAGGACCCUCGUGCCAGACGCCCCAGACAGGACCCUCACGCCCUCGUGCCAGACGCCCCAGACUCAUGUCCUGGUGCCAGACGCCCCAGACAGUCAGCAGCAGAUCUGCUGGUGGAGGUUGGUGUGCUAAAUGCUAAACGCUAAAUGCCUGAUCUACCCAGAGACCAGCUCUUUCUGGAGCGGACCAGGCCCCGCACCGCCGCAGGUCCGGCUGAGUUACGGCCCACAUACGGCCCACAUGCGGCCCUGCUCUGGGCCGGGCUCCGCAGCAGCAGCCCCUCUGAUGAGCGACCCGCCACUCAAGCGCCGGGAACAAACCACAGGCCAUCACUUAGAGCACCGCAGCUCCAGAGCCCUCGCUGCAGCACGCGCUCCACUAGGCCACCAGGGGGCCCCGUGCUCAAAAGAGAUGAGUGACACGGCCUUUUGAGCGGACCGGCGGGAGCCGCACAGGCUGUGCGUUAGCGGCUCAAAGGCGUGACGUGGGGGAGCGGAGGAUGCCAGAUCAUUCCGCCACGGGUCGGGACUGCUGCCUGCUGUUCGCCGCUUUUAUCGCCCUCAUUGGUAAUGCACCACACUGACUAGAGCAACUCAGACACACACUAACACAUGGAAACACACACACACACACAAACACUGGCAUACAAAAAAACACACACACACUGGCAUACACAAACACACACACAGGCAUACACAAACACACACAAACACAUUGAAAUACACACACUAGCACACCCACACACAUGGAAAAAACACAUACUGCCACACACACACACACUUACACACACACACACCAGCGUGAAGCCAAAGCCUGUGCUCUGGGAUUACCUGUGAAAGCACACAACAAGAAUUCAUUGUUCACCUAAAACCAUAAAAAGAACAUACCGGAGCUGAACUAUUGACAUAUUUAAUAUAACACGGUGUUCAUUAAAACCAUAAAAAC